rnacentral:siRNA from 1 species
UUUCCAGAUUAUUGCUCGACGC